rnacentral:rRNA from 1 species
CAGGUCUUGACAUCCUUAUGCCAUCCCUAGAGAUAGGGCUUUCCCUUCGGGGACAUAAGUGACAGGUGGUGCAUGGUUGUCGUCAGCUCGUGUCGUGAGAUGUUGGGUUAAGUCCCGCAACGAGCGCAACCCUUGAUCUUAGUUGCCAGCAUUUAGUUGGGCACUCUAAGGUGACUGCCGGUGACAAACCGGAGGAAGGUGGGGAUGACGUCAAAUCAUCAUGCCCCUUAUGACCUGGGCUACACACGUGCUACAAUGGAUGGUACAAAGGGCUGCAAAACCGCGAGGUUAAGCGAAUCCCAUAAAACCAUUCUCAGUUCGGAUUGCAGGCUGCAACUCGCCUGCAUGAAGCCGGAAUCGCUAGUAAUCGCGGAUCAGCAUGCCGCGGUGAAUACGUUCCC